rnacentral:tRNA from 1 species
GCCCUAGUGCUGGAACUGGUAGACAGGCAUGAUUCAGGAUCAUGUGCCUUAAAAGGCGUGGGAGUUCGAAUCUCCCCUAGGGCA